ACAACCCGAGCCAUGUGUGGUGGCGAACACCCCUAAUCCCAUCAAUACAGGAGGCAAAGGCAGGAGGAUCCCAAGUUCCAGGUCAGCCUGGGCAACUUAGCAAGACCCUGUCUCAUAAGAUGAAAAAGAGUUGGUAUGUCCGUCAGUCUAGAGUGCCCUUGGGUUCAGUCCCCAGUACCCAAACAAACAGACCGAUAAAAAAAGAAACUCAAAACCAAAAACCAAUUUGAAUAUUUCAGCAAACUAUAUGUUAGUUAUUACUGAUACAGACCUAAAUACUGGGAAAUUAUGCCAACUUUAAUAAUGUUAAAAAUUUUAAAUGCUAAAUUAUGUACAUAUUUAAGUACAAGGAAUAUCAUGUUCUGCUAAAGACUCAUGGUUUGCAUAAAGAAAAUUUGUGAUAGUCAAUGAGGAAAAAAGAAAAAAUUAAGAGUAUCAUAAUUCAAUUUCACAUACUAAGCAUUUAAAAUAAUAAAAACUGAAGAAAAAUUUCAUCGAAGUUGUUGAUAAAGUGAUGAAGGAAUUUGGGAAGAAUUGCCAACUCUUUAGCACUGCCUGCUCGCAGCAGCAGGAGCCGGCUUGUCAGGGGAGCAGUCAGCAGACCUUCCCAGCACAGGGCUGGCGCAGGAGCAGCACAGCCAUGCAGCCCUGACGCUGCUCCCUGAAGUCAGGUGUCUGCUGAGGUGCCCCCAGUCCAAGGCGGUAAAAUUUCCUCAUUAUCUGUCAAGCGGCAUCUCUUUCAUAUAAGACGAUUGCAAUUUAUUUGAAAUGCAAAAUUCACGACUUCUAAGUGAGUGUUAAUGGUUUUGCUGGCUUUGCGAUGUGGACAUCGAUCAUUAUCUUCGGUGGUGGAGAAAACUGGUCCUAAUGAGAAUUCCUCCCGUGAAGCACCUUGGAGUGCCCAGUGUCUGCACAGCCCAUGGACAGUGCGUCAUUUCUGUCAUCUACAAAACCUUUCAAUGUUUUAAGGUAGAUGGUCUAAAAUGACUGCAUUUGACGAUUCUGUCCGAUGAAUGAUGAUGCAUGUAAAUCCAUCACCUUGUAUCUUUUCCCAAUCAGCUCUCUAUGUGUAUAAUGUUCAGUAAACAGCAGAGAGAGUUAGAUACCGUGUUGAAGAGCUGGAACCCAAACAGAGAAACCUGAAGCAUAUGCGGAUCCUGAGGCUCCCCUUAGAGCCGGAGCUGUGGAGCAUUUUGGCACACGCAGAGACCCGUCGUCCCUGGAGAGCAAAGGCCUGGCUUUAGCCAGCUCUGCCUUCCACAGAGGGAGAGGCUGGCCUCGGCAGGAGGAGGAAGGCAUGCUUCAGUUUCAGAGCGAGGGGAGAGCACUCUGCCCCUGUGUCCUUCCUAUAGGGAGGCAGAGUCCUGGUGUGACCAGAAGGCUGGCGCUUGACCUCUGAGCCCUGGGUGAGCUAAGAGACAUGGGGCAGCGGCUGAACUACGAGGGAAAGCAGAAGGUGGCCUUCAGGGAAGGACCGAGACGUGGGAUCUGAAACAAGGACGUGAGGCCGCCACUCGAAGAGGAAAGACUGACAUGAAAUGCCCUUCUGCUCCGGGUUUUAAAAAGGCAACUACAAAAGCAUAGCCCAGUGCUGAGGCUGCCAGCGCUCCGAGCUCCGAAACUCAGUCCCAGGGCGUUUGGGGAGCCCAGAGGGUAAAGGAGAUUCAGCCAGCGGGUGAACUUUGACAGCACCGUCACUGGUCUCUGUGACCUGGCGUGGUGUUCUUGGCCUUCUGCACGAGCAUCUUCACGGGAGACGUGCCUGAUCCACCUGCUGCCCACCGUGGAGCUGGCCCCUGAGGAGGAAGAAGGCAGCCGGCCUGAGGCGCUCACGGUCUGAGAUGCAGGUGACUGAGCUCAGUGGUGGUCAGCAGUUUGGGAAUCAGAGACCAGAGCAAAGGCUGACCCCGAGAGGGGCCAUGUGGACUCGGAUGUGGAAUGCGCACAAUGGCUCGGAGUCGGAGGCUGUGGAGCUCGGCUGGCGAUGAUACUGAGGGGUGUAGACACCUUAGGAGUGGAGGUGGGCCUCGCUGGGGAAGUGGGUCACAGGGGCAGGCCCUAAAACGGGUAGUUUGUCCUGGGCCUUUCUCUCUCUGGCUGUUGGCUCCCUGCCGCCAUGAGGCAAAGAGAUGCUCCACCACACCGUCUCCCCCGACGCUCACCACAGGCCGGGAAUCCAUGGAGCCAGGAGACCGUGACUGCGACUCCGAAGCCCUAAGCCAGAAUGAGUCUUCUGUCCUGAGUUGACUUUCUCUGGCGUUUUGUCACAGUGAUGAGAGCCGGCUGACCCCCCUCCACCUCAGACUGGAAUUCCCUGAGCAGUGGCACCCAGAAGGGAGCAGACAGAAUCGGUCACAGGGUGGUGAGAGCAGCUUUUCCAAAGUGACGUGUGCCACAAGGCUGGGGCAGCAGAAGACCACCCGCGCGGGGGUAGUGGGAAACCCGCGCAGGGGUAGUGGGAAACCUGCGUGGGGGUAGUGGGAAGCCGGCCCAGGCGUGGGUUUGUCUUGUGUUGGGGCUGACCUGGAGGCACACCGGCGAGGCCCCCUGCACGCCUUGCCUGUCCUGCCCUGGAGGAUGGAAGGGGAGCCAGGAGCGGCUCUGGUCGCCAGAUGCUGUCCCUAGGGUCCACCUCUUCCCUUGGUUCCUGUGUGUUGGCAGGGUCACUGUUGGAGUCCUGCUGGUAAGUUCUGGGUGCAGGAGGCUGGGCUGCUCUGACUGUGCACCUCCAUGACCUCUCGGGCUGGCUCUGAGGCUGCAUCUGUGACUGAGCCCGCUCUCUGUCCCCAGGAGCUCCACAUCACUCAUGGUGAAGCGUGACAUGAAACCCCCAGGUAUGUGGGGAUCUCUCUCUGGUAUGGUUAUCAGAAGAAGAAGAAUCUGGAUUGUUUGGAAAUCUCAAGCAGAUGAGGAAUGCCGUUGUGCAGGAGUGCCAGGCCAGACCGCCCUCCAUCACCCCGUGUGCUUGCUAAAAGUGAACCUAAUUUGCAUUUUCCUGGUCUGCAUUCGGUCAUUCACUCUGUUUAUUCAGGUAAAACUUGGUCCCUGCACAGAACUAGAAGGCUUGACACUGCUCUCUGAUUGUCAUAGAGGGGAGUGAGCAUUGAGAGAUGUUACCUCCUGAAAAUAAGAAGGCCUCAGAGUGACCACAGCAGGACUUCCCUGGGUUGUUUAGAUACAUUGUUGCACUAAGUUGUAAAGUCAUAACUCAACCUGAGGAAGAAAAGGAAGGAAGUAGGUGCGUUUUAGGAUCAUUCUAAAAGAACCAGCCAGGGUUCUGCCUGGCCUUUUCUGCGUCAGUAAGGCCAGCCCUGCUGCCUCGAAUGGGCCAGCGAUCGGUGCCUAGGUCCAUGGGUGGUCUGUUUUGGGGAAGCCAUCCAAUCAAAUCAGGUCUUUCUGGGGAAGACAGAUGCCAAGUCCACUGGAGACAGAGACCUGACCCCUCUUGGGCUGCUGGAGUGGUGCUCUCCCUUCCGUCCAUCCUUGCCUUGGGGACCCAGAGGUAGAAAAGGGUGCGCCCCAAUCUGCAGGUCCCGCCUGCAGAUGACUGCGAUGAGCGUGCCCGGAGUGCAGUCUGUGACUGUCCUGUCCUUGCCACCUGAAGUCCCAACAUGUGUGAAGCCAUCAAGAUGUAGGUGGAAACGUGUUGGCUCACCAGCCAGGGGCAGGACAGGGGCAAAGGAAGUGUCACACCUAGGGUCUCACCGCACGUGGAGAGGUGCUCCGACUCCUGGCUUGCAGAGGACCCAAGAGCUGAGCCACGAGCACAGGUGUGUUCAGCCUGCAGAGCUGGAGCCUGAGAACUGGAAGCCCUUGUCCCUGCCUGUCCCCUUCCACAGGGUGCGGGCAAGCACAUGCCAGAGGAAAAAGCCAGUCUGAAGUGCACCCUUGCUGCCUAGAAGGAGCGGGGUCCCAGUGGGGUGGUGCAAAUAGCUGAGGUACAAACAACGAGGAUCCACAGUCUGGGCUGAUCCUCUGCUGGACAUGGGACCCUAGUCACCAAACGAUUAAGCUAAACCUGCAGAAGGCAGGCUCGGGUCAGCCAGCCGCAGCCCAGACUGCUUGGGCACACCUCCGGUGGCUCGCCUGGGGGAGGAAGAGCCUCCGGUGGUUGGCGUCUUCCCCUGGUGCUGGCGGUGAAGUGCUGGGGAGUCAAGAGUCUGAUGGGAAUGAUGACCAGAGGUUCUGGGUGUGGGGCUGCUCCUGAGGGUUGUCUGUGCCCUGCUUCUGGCUGGCUCAAGGUUGUGCUCAGGAGCUGCAGUUCACAGAACCCAGAUGCACAGCCCCCAGCCCCACGGCACUCUGCCUUGGAUGAGAGCAAAGCCCAGAAGAUGCACACGACGCUCUCCUGGACGUUCAGGGCUGACAUCCCGCUGAGGCUCAGCCCCAAGCACACAGUGGAACCUGCGCUAGCCUCCCAGGUCAGAGGGAGGCCAGGGAAGGAGCCUGGACCCAGCUCACAGCCCUGGAAUUUACAUUUAUCUCUGGAAUUUAUAUGUAACUCCUGGAAUCUGUAUCUACCCCUGGGGAGCCCAGACUCCUUUUUGGAGAGCUGAUGAGAAGACUGACAGGAAACUGAGUUCGGUUCAGCUCGGCUUCCAUGCACAGAUGCCUCUUCGUCACCGAGGCCAAGGUAUGUCUCUGGGUUUUGGCUUUGGCCCUGAGUGCUGAGCAGCACUUUAAAGCUGGGGUGGGGGGAAGAGCCCAGACACGUGAUCUCCAAGGGACUGAUUUCAUGGUUAAUUACAAUAUCUGGGCCGGCAAAUUCCUUUGAAGAUGACUGCUCCUGAGGUAACGGACGCAGGGGUGGGACCCAGGCCAGCAGUCCUGCCAGAAUUCAAAGCCCGCCGGAUUGGAAGUCUGUUUCCUGGUGACACACGCCCCUCCACUCUGCACAAAGCCAAUGGACACGCAGCAUCUAGUGGCCACUGGGCAGAAAGUGGUCCUGUGUGCUCCCUUGUCCAGGCCUGGCCUCUCCGAAGGCCACCUUCCCAGGCCUGUCCACAGACUCCCACGGCACCCAUCACACCCCUUCCCAUCACGGGGACAGGGGCUGCUCAUGGUCUGGUCAGGCAGCACGGUGUCCUCAAGCUCCCAUUUAACAAACGAUGAGGGUCACAGGGAAUCAGACCUCUGGUAAGAGGAAGCGGAAUAAGCCUCCGACUCCCCAGCUCAGGGGCCUCUGCUCAGUGGGUUCCCAUACUCACUGAAGCCCCGGGACGGUUUCUUCCCCUAAGACGGAGUGGAAGACUGGCCUGAGUCCAGGAAACGCGGAGGUGGUGGGCGGUGGGCUCCUGCGCAUCCUUGGAGGGUUCUCUGUGGCCCUGGCUCCUUCACUGUCCCAGGCUGAUGGCUUCUGAUGGCGGGAGGUCACGUUCCAGGCUUGGCAUCUCACAGCUGGACCUGGCCUGAGGUCCAGGCGCUGCGGGCCCGGGGCGGAGCUAGUGACCACAGGUUCCUAGGCCCUUUCUGAUGACUCUGGUUUGAGUGGAAUUUGCCGGCUUCCUGUUUCUUGGUGGGGAUGUGGCCCACAACCUUUCUCAGAAGUUUCUACUGCUGAGAAGUAGGGUCACCACCCCUCUGUGCCCUUUCCCAGCUGUGAGUGUAAAACCGUGUGGAGGCAUAAAGAUAAGGUCUGACAUUGAAAAAUGACUUGAUUACAGUGUCGCUGCAGCUCGGAACCUGAACACCCCCCACGGCCUUCGUGUGGAGGACUUGUCCCCAGCCUGCGGUGCUCCUGGGGAGGCAGCCUGGUGCCAGGAAGUGAGGACAGGGCAAGUGUGCUGCCAGGGGAUAUUGGGACCCUGGUCUCUUCCUCCAUCUCCUUCUGCCUCCUGACUGCUUCGAGGUGAGCCGUCUCGUCUCCUCUGCCGCAUGAUGCAUGGUGCCACCACAGUCCCAAAAGCAUCAGAGCCGACUCACCAUGGUCUGAAACCAUCGAAAUGUUGAUACAAAAUAAACCUUUUCUCCUUGUA